UUGCACGCUGGCGGCAUGCUUUACCCCUGCCAGUCGAACGGUAACAGCACUUCGGUGGCUGACGAGUGGCGAACGGGUGAGUAAUACAUCGGAACGUGCCUAGUAGUUGGGGAUAACUACUCGAAAGAGUAGCUAAUACCGCAUGAGAGCUAAGGAUGAAAACAGGGGACCUUCGGGCCUUGCGCUACUAGAGCGGCUGAUGGCAGAUUAGGUAGUUGGUGGGUUAAAAGCUUACCAAGCCGACGAUCUGUAGCUGGUCUGAGAGGACGACCAGCCACACUGGGACUGAGACACGGCCCAGACUCCUACGGGAGGCAGCAGUGGGGAAUUUUGGACAAUGGGCGCAAGCCUGACCCAGCAAUGCCGCGUGCAGGAUGAAGGCCUUCGGGUUGUAAACUGCUUUUGUACGGAAAGAAAAGCUCUCUUCUAAUACAGGAGCGUCAUGAAGGUACCGUAAGAAUAAGCACCGGCUAACUACGUG
rnacentral:rRNA from 1 species